rnacentral:rRNA from 1 species
GGCUCAGGACGAACGCUGGCGGCGUGCCUAAUGCAUGCAAGUCGCACGCAGUGCCUUCGGGUGCUGAGUGGCGCACGGCUGAGGAACACGUGGGAAUCUGCCCGACCGUGGGGGAUAACUCGCCGAAAGGCGUGCUAAUCCCGCAUACGCUCGCAAGAGGAAAGCCGCAAUGCGCGGUCGGAGGAGCCUGCGGCCCAUCAGGUAGUUGGCGGGGUAACGGCCCACCAAGCCACUGACGGGUAGCUGGUCUGUGAGGACAACCAGCCAGACUGGGACUGAGACACGGCCCAGACUCCUACGGGAGGCAGCAGCAAGGAAUUUUCGGCAAUGGGGGCAACCCUGACCGAGCAACGCCGCGUGGAGGAUGACGGCCUUCGGGUUGUAAACUCCUUUUGCGGGGGAUGACAUCGACCGUACCCCGCGAAUCAGGCUCGGCUAACUCUGUGCCAGCAGCCGCGGUAAGACAGAGGAGCCAAGCGUUGUCCGGAUUGACUGGGCGUAAAGCGCACGCAGGCGGUGGCGCGCGUGGGGUGUGAAAGCUGGUGGCUUAACUGCCAGAUGCCAUCCCAUACGGCGUCACUCGAGCCCUGCAGAGGUCCACGGAAUUGCCGGUGUAGUGGUGAAAUGCGUAGAGAUCGGCAGGAACACCCAGGGGGAAACCAGUGGACUGGGCAGGAGCUGACGCUCAGGUGCGAAAGCGUGGGGAGCGAACUGGAUUAGAUACCCAGGUAGUCCACGCCGUAAACGAUGAAUACUCGGCAUUUGGGGGGCGAUUUUCGUCCGCCGGGUGCCCCAGCUACCGCGGUAAGUAUUCCGCCUGGGAA